rnacentral:rRNA from 1 species
AGAAGGGGUCAAGUACAUUUUCCCAUCAGAACUCCGAAGUUAAGCGUGCUUAGUACUAGGAUGGGUGACCCCUGGGAAGUCCUCGUGUUGCAUCCC